AAAUUGAAGAGUUUGAUCAUGGCUCAGAUUGAACGCUGGCGGCAGGCCUAACACAUGCAAGUCGAACGGUAACAGGAAGCAGCUUGCUGCUUCGCUGACGAGUGGCGGACGGGUGAGUAAUGUCUGGGAAACUGCCUGAUGGAGGGGGAUAACUACUGGAAACGGUGGCUAAUACCGCAUAACGUCGCAAGACCAAAGAGGGGGACCUUCGGGCCUCUUGCCAUCAGAUGUGCCCAGAUGGGAUUAGCUUGUUGGUGAGGUAACGGCUCACCAAGGCGACGAUCCCUAGCUGGUCUGAGAGGAUGACCAGCCACACUGGAACUGAGACACGGUCCAGACUCCUACGGGAGGCAGCAGUGGGGAAUAUUGCACAAUGGGCGCAAGCCUGAUGCAGCCAUGCCGCGUGUAUGAAGAAGGCCUUCGGGUUGUAAAGUACUUUCAGCGGGGAGGAAGGUGUUGUGGUUAAUAACCGCAGCAAUUGACGUUACCCGCAGAAGAAGCACCGGCUAACUCCGUGC
rnacentral:rRNA from 1 species